AGCAAAACGUCGCUGAUAUGACGUUGGAUCCGAAGCCUCUAGAAGGUUAACAAAGGCUCUUCAUCCCCUACUCCUAUUCAAUAAGUCCCCGAUGUACAGAACAGCAACAUGUCUCUCAAAUAUCCAAGCUAUUCACCCUUCACCUUUUUUUAAAACUUUUUAGAUGAAUGGGUUGCAUGUCAAAAUUGAGGGGA
rnacentral:ribozyme from 1 species